rnacentral:rRNA from 1 species
GUAGCAAUACCAUGAGAGUGGCGAACGGGUGCGUAACACGUAUAUAAUCUGCCCAUUACUCGGGGAUAGCCUUGCGAAAGUGAGAUUAAUACCCGAUGGCACUGCGAGGGGGCAUCCCUUUGCAGUUAAAGAACUUCGGUAAUGGAGGAAUAUGCGUCCGAUUAGCUAGUUGGUAGUGUAACGGACUACCAAGGCUACGAUCGGUAGGGGUUCUGAGAGGAUGAUCCCCCACACUGGUACUGAGAUACGGACCAGACUCCUACGGGAGGCAGCAGUAGGGAAUAUUGGGCAAUGGAGGCAACUCUGACCCAGCCACGCCGCGUGCAGGAUGAAGGCCCUCUGGGUUGUAAACUGCUUUUGUAUGGGAAGAAAAUGCUUCUGCGGAAGUGACUGACGGUACCAUACGAAUAAGCAUCGGCUAACUCCGUGCCAGCAGCCGCGGUAAUACGGAGGAUGCGAGCGUUGUCCGGAUUUACUGGGUUUAAAGGGAGCGUAGGCGGGUUAGUAAGUGAGAGUUGAAAGGCAGUUGCUCAACAAUUGUAAGGCUCUCAUACUGCUAAUCUUGAGUGUACUGGAGGCAGAUAGAAUGGGUGGAGUAGCGGUGAAAUGCAUAGAUACCAUCCAGAAUACCGAUUGCGAAGGCAUUCUGCUACAUUACAACUGACGCUGAGGCUCGAAAGUGUGGGGAUCAAACAGGAUUAGAUACCCUGGUAGUCCACACUGUAAACGAUGGUUACUCGAUGUAUGCCCGUUAGGGUAUGUGUCCAAGCGAAAGCGUUAAGUAACCCACCUGGGGAGUA